GUUUUGACAGGCUAAGAAACUGGGAGCCAGAGGUGGGAGAAAGAUGUUGUUGCACACUCUUCUACUUUUUUAUUUGAACCUAAAAUGAUGUGAACAGAUUAAUAUUCAAAAUGAAUGAUGCUUUCUUAGCUGACAGCCUGCCUUUUCUACAAAGCAAAAAUACUAGCAGCUAUAUAGUACUUGCCACGUAUGUUGGCCCCUGUUCCAAGUGCUCCUGUGUACGUUCACUCACGUGAUCUUCGGAACACCCCAGUGAGCCCAACUUCUCUACAGCACAAACAGCAAAGCCAAAAAUAGCCAUCUAAUGACGUCAGAGGAACAAGGUCAUCUGAAAACUGCCCAUGGCCACUGGAUACCUCCCUAUAGGAUCAUGUAGCAGGAGGGUACCCCAGGCUGGUGCAGCUGUUCCAAGAACAGGAAAUGUCCCCGAAGCAGACUUGGAAGCACCGCCCUCCAAAGGCAGGGCCCAUGGGGGCGGGGGGACAAACACAAACAGAAAGAAGCAAGACUCAAGGGCAGAGUGCACACCCUGGAGAGGAGAGGAAUUGGGAGUUUAUCUGCAGUAAGAGUCACUGCCGGCACACGAUCCCAGGAAAUGGCUCCAAAAGCGGGGAAUGCAUGUUCUGUCCUGGUGCACCGGUUGGCUUCCUGGCCUACCCCUGAGCUAUUUAUAACUCUCCAGGCCCGUCUGCUGAACUGGGUUACCACAUGAGCCAGGGGGUGCGUGAUGAGCUCUUGAGAGACUGCUGGGAGAAGAGGGUCCCAUCUGGGAUGGUAAUGGGGGUUUCAAAUAAAGGAUGAGGAGUGGGCUGGGGCAAAGCACCUUCUGGCUGCACUCCCUUGGCACUUCGACCAUGCUGGCUAUCAUUCAGGUCUGCUGAGGCUUGUGACUUAAUUGACCGGCUGCUGCCGCAUCCCGGACAGGAAUGCAAGCAUCCGGCUUGGUCUGAGGAGAUGCCUGCUGGGUGAAACUGAGGAGAGAACCCCGCCUCUGGGAAGCGUAGCAGGAGGUUCCCACAAGCAACAUCGAGAGUUCAGUGAGGGCUCCAGCCCACAAGCUUGCUCCAAAGUCCUCAGUUGCUGGCCAUGGUGGGUGACAGAAACAAUCUCUUCUUCACCCAUGGGGCUCUUUGAUCCAGUGUCACUUGGCUCCCAAAAGAGCUAGGCCCUGUCCUCCAGGAGCUCCUGAAAAUGUCCAUCCAUCCUCUCAUGGGAUGUUAACUGGUGUGGUGCAAAAGGCACUUGAGGGCACAGACCUGGGUCAAAUUCUGACUCUGCCACUUACCAGCAGUGUGACUUUGGGAUAGUAACUUAAACUCAGAGCCUCAGUUUUCCUCAUCUGUCUUAUGACUUGUUGGAAGGACAUAUGGAAAAGCAUUCUUCCUUCCAUCUUUAUUCUGGUAACGGAGCCUUGGCUAAGGAGAUAAACACUCAAACUCAGCAGCUCUCCUGGGUAACAUGAACAGGCUGCACAAAUGUGACUCUCCAGGGAGCUUAGAGGGGAGGCAUGUUCCUGCUGUCCACAUGGGCUCUAGGUUUGGCCUGGAUACUGAGGGUCACAGGAGAGAAUGGCUGCAGAUUUCCUGAUUCAUAGGGAACGCUGAGUUGGGAGUUCUGUUGUCCACUAGGACAACACCUGCUGACACAGUGGUCCUCACCCUUGGGGGUACCUCACAGCUCUCUGCUGCUACUUGCUAAAUCGCUUCAGUUGUGUCCUACUCCGUUAGACCCCAGAGACGGC